rnacentral:rRNA from 1 species
CCCAAAAUUAGUCAAUGCUCGCAAGAGUGAACUAGCUAACUGAAAUCAACGGUGUGUCAUCGUUGAUAACGUAAGGGAAAAUAAUGAUGGUACCUUACUAUUAGUGUCGUCCAAAUACUCGUGCCAGAAGACUCGGUAAGGCGAGAGACGCAAACGUUAGUCGUCCUAAUCAGGCGUAAAGGGUUUGUAGGCGGCUUUAAGCAUCUAAUUUAAAUUUUACUAGCUCUUACCACUGUAGCCUAAAAUUUUAGGUAAAGUUGUAAAAGGAAAUAUUAGAAAGGAUCAAUUAAAGCUAGAAUCAAAAAGAGGUUAUAUUAAAGAAUACUUAGAGUAAGGUCGACAUCUAUAGAUACUAAGUAGAAUACUAACGGCGAAGGCUUUUUUCCAAUGAUGAUUGACGCUGAGAAACUAAGGUGAGGACAGAAAAAAGGAUUAGAGACCCUAGUAUCCCUCACUGUCAACGAUGAAUGGUAGUUACUAAAGACAAACUUUAGAGGCGAUGUUAACACGUAAACCAUUCCGCCUUGUGAGUACGACUGCAAAGUUGAAAACAAAAAAAUUAGUCGGUCUCGGAGCAAACGAAGUGAAGCAUGUUAUUUAAUU